rnacentral:misc_RNA from 1 species
GAUGAAGAACGUAGCGAAAUGCGAUAAGUAAUGUGAAUUGCAGAAUUCAGUGAAUCAUCGAAUCUUUGAACGCACAUUGCGCCCGCCAGUAUUCUGGCGGGCAUGCCUGUUCGAGCGUCAUUACAACCCUCAGGCCCCCGGGCCUGGCGUUGGGGAUCGGCGGAAGCCCCCUGCGGGCACAACGCCGUCCCCCAAAUACAGUGGCGGUCCCGCCGCAGCUUCCAUUGCGUAGUAGCUAACACCUCGCAACUGGAGAGCGGCGCGGCCACGCCGUAAAACACCCAACUUCUGAAUGUUGACCUCGAAUUAGGUAGGAAUACCCGCUGAACUUAAGCAUAUCAAUAAGCGGAGGA